CAAAUUGUUGCCUGCUUUGAAGGCCUCAGUCGGUCACAUCCUCCUUGCACAAUUUCAGCUCUAAACAGAGGGAGAGAAAUCACCAAGAAGAUGUUUUGGCUCUUUUUCAAUAUAUCCACAAAAAAGGAUGGGAAAUAGCACCUUGUUCUACAGUAUCCUAAGGACUGAAAAUUCAAUGAACUUUUCAAAGCAUCUUAUAAAAACACUUGCCAACACCUACAAAAGUUAGUGGAGGGAAAUGUUGGGAGACAACAGUCCAACAGAAGUUCCAAGGAAAAGUGGGAAAGAAAGAAGAUGGGCUGGUCACAUGAUGGGAAUGACCACAUGAUCUAUGCCAAGACAAAUCAAGAAACUCCUCAGCAUGAAAACAUCAUGGAAAAUAUUUGACAACAUGGACAAAAGUUGAAAAGAAUGGGCAGGCAUGGAAGGUUGUGAUCAUCAUUGACGUAGUUGGGUGGUACAGAGACUAGAGCACUGGGCCUGGAGUCCGGAAGACCUAUGUUCAAAUCUAGCCUUUAGAAAUGCAGAUUUUGAAGAGUCUUCACUUAGUACAACCCAUACUUAAACAAGAACCCCC